rnacentral:rRNA from 1 species
UUAUUUUUUAAUAAUUAAUUUUUAUAUAAUUUUUAUAUAAUUAAUAUUUUAGUUAUUUAUAGGAAUAAAUAUUAUAAUAUAAUAAUAUUUUAACAAUGAUAAAAUAAGUAUUUUAUAUAUAUAAAAUAUAGUAACUCGGCAAAUAUUAUUUUCGCCUGUUUAACAAAAACAUGGUCUUUUGUUUAUAUAAAAGAUCUAACCUGCCCUAUGAUUUAUUUAAAUGGCUGCAGUAUUUUGACUGUACAAAGGUAGCAUAAUCAUUUGUCUUUUAAUUGAAGGCUUGUAUGAAUGGUUGGAUGAAAAAUAUACUUUCUUUAUUUUAUAUAAAAAAUUUAAUUUUCUAGUCAAAAAGCUAGGAUUUUUUUAUAGGACGAGAAGACCCUAUAGAACUUUAUUUUCUUUUUUUAUAAACUUUAUAGAUAAAUAUAAGUUUAUAUAUUUUUGUUAAUUUUGUUGGGGUGAUUGAAAAAAUUUUUUAACUUUUUCUAUUUUUUACAUUUAUAUAUGUUUUUUUGAUCCUUUAUUAUGGAAUAAAAGAUUAAGUUACCUUAGGGAUAACAGCGUUAUUUUUUUGGAGAGUUCUUAUCGAUAAAAAAGUUUGCGACCUCGAUGUUGG